CCUACGGGGCGCAGCAGUGGGGAAUAUUGGACAAUGGGCGAAAGCCUGAUCCAGCCAUGCCGCGUGUGUGAAGAAGGCCUUCGGGUUGUAAAGCACUUUCAGUGGGGAAGAAAGCCUUGGGGCUAAUACCCUCGAGGAAGGACAUCACCCACAGAAGAAGCACCGGCUAACUCCGUGCCAGCAGCCGCGGUAAUACGGAGGGUGCGAGCGUUAAUCGGAAUUACUGGGCGUAAAGCGCGCGUAGGCGGUCUGAUAAGCCGGUUGUGAAAGCCCCGGGCUCAACCUGGGAACGGCAUCCGGAACUGUCAGGCUAGAGUGCAGGAGAGGAAGGUAGAAUUCCCGGUGUAGCGGUGAAAUGCGUAGAGAUCGGGAGGAAUACCAGUGGCGAAGGCGGUCUUCUGGACUGACACUGACGCUGAGGUGCGAAAGCGUGGGUAGCAAACAGGAUUAGAUACCCUAGUAGUC
rnacentral:rRNA from 1 species